UACGGAGGAUCCAAGCGUUAUCCGGAAUCAUUGGGUUUAAAGGGUCCGUAGGCGGUCUACUAAGUCAGUGGUGAAAGCCCAUCGCUUAACGAUGGAACGGCCAUUGAUACUGUUAGACUUGAAUUAUUGGGAAGUAACUAGAAUAUGUAGUGUAGCGGUGAAAUGCUUAGAUAUUACAUGGAAUACCAAUUGCGAAGGCAGGUUACUAUCAAUAUAUUGACGCUGAUGGACGAAAGCGUGGGGAGCGAACAGG
rnacentral:rRNA from 1 species